rnacentral:rRNA from 1 species
GAACGGGUGAGUAACGCGUGAGGAACCUGCCUCAAAGAGGGGGACAACAGUUGGAAACGACUGCUAAUACCGCAUAAGCCCACAGGUCGGCAUCGACCAGAGGGAAAAGGAGCAAUCCGCUUUGAGAUGGCCUCGCGUCCGAUUAGCUAGUUGGUGAGGUAACGGCCCACCAAGGCAACGAUCGGUAGCCGGACUGAGAGGUUGAACGGCCACAUUGGGACUGAGACACGGCCCAA